rnacentral:rRNA from 1 species
GCGUGAAGGAUCAUUAACGAGUCAUGGUCUCUCUGGCCCGACCUCCCAACCCUUUGUCUACUUGACCAUCGUUGCUUCGGCGAGCCCGUCCUCACGGACCGCCGGAGGGAUCUUUACUGGCCCUCUGGUCCGCGCUCGUCGGUAGCCCAACCUUUAAAAUCUUUAACUAAACGUGCCUUAAUCUAAGUACAAUUAUUAAAUAAAAGCAAAACUUUCAACAACGGAUCUCUUGGUUCUGGCAUCGAUGAAGAACGCAGCGAAAUGCGAUAAGUAAUGCGAAUUGCAGAAUUCCAGUGAGUCAUCGAAUCUUUGAACGCACAUUGCGCCCUUUGGUAUUCCGAAGGGCAUGCCUGUUCGAGCGUCAUUAUCACCCCUCAAGCCCUCGGCUUGGUGUUGGACGGUUUGGUGGAGGCCCCCUCGGGGGCUCCUGCCCCUCCCAAAGACAAUGACGGCGGCCUCGUUGGACCCCCGGUACACUGAGUCCUUCACAGGACACGUAUCAGACACAUGGGGUUUACGGGACACGGUCUGCCUCCCCUCAUGGAGAAUCCUUCUACAGUUGACCCGGAUCAGGUAGGGAUAACCGCUGAACUUAGCAUAUCAUACGCGGAGAAA